rnacentral:rRNA from 1 species
AUUGAACGCUGGCGGCAGGCCUAACACAUGCACGUCGAACGAGUGGCGGACGGGUGAGUACUGUCUGGGAAACUGCCUGAUGUAGGUGGAUAACUACUGGAAACGGUAGCUACUACCGCAUACCAUCAGAUGUGCCCAGAUGGGCUUAGCUAGUUGGUGGGGUAACGGCUCACCAAGGCGACGAUCCCUAGCUGGUCUUAGCGGAUUCCCAGCCACACUGGAACUGAGAAACGGUCCAGACUCCUACGGUAGGCAGCAGUGGGGAAUAUUGCACAAUGGGCGCAAGCCUGAUGCAGCCAUGCCGCGUGUAUGAAGAAGGCCUUCGGGUUGUAAAGUACUUUCAGCGGGGAGGCGUUACCCGCAGAAGAAGCACCGGCUAACUCCGUGCCAGCAGCCGCGGUAAUAC